CUUAAUUCUGGUUGAUCCUGCCAGAGGUUACUGCUAUCGGAGUUCGAUUAAGCCAUGCGAGUCUAAAGGUUUCUUCGGAAACCUUGGCGGACUGCUCAGUAACACGUGGAUAACCUACCCUUGGGACUGGAAUAACCCCGGGAAACUGGGGAUAAUACCGGAUAGAUCAUGGAUGCUGGAAUGCGCCUUGAUCAAAAGCUCCGGCGCCCAAGGAUGGGUCUGCGGCCUAUCAGGUUGUAGUGGGUGUAACGUACCUACUAGCCGGCGACGGGUACGGGUUGUGAGAGCAAGAGCCCGGAGAUGGAUUCUGAGACACGAAUCCAGGCCCUACGGGGUGCAGCAGGCGCGAAACCUUUACAAUGUGCGAAAGCAUGAUAAGGGAACUCCGAGUGCCAGUAUCUAAUACUGGCUGUCCUUGUGCCUAAAACGCACAAGAUAGCAAGGGCCGGGUAAGACCGGUGCCAGCCGCCGCGGUAACACCGGCGGCCCGAGUGGUAGCCGCUAUUAUUGGGUCUAAAGGGUCCGUAGCCGGUUCGAUAAGUCCUCUGGGAAAUCUGGUUGCUUAACAAUCAGACUGCCAAGGGAUACUGUCGGACUUGAGACCGGGAGAGGUAAGAGGUACUUCAGGGGUAGGAGUGAAAUCUUGUAAUCCCUGGGGGACCAUCUGUGGCGAAGGCGUCUUACCAGAACGGGUCUGACGGUGAGGGACGAAAGCUGGGGGCGCAAACCGGAUUAGAUACCCGGGUAGUCCCAGCCGUAAACGAUGCUCGCUAUGUGUCAGGUACGGUGUGACCGUAUCUGGUGCCGUAGGGAAGCCGUGAAGCGAGCCACCUGGGAAGUACGGUCGCAAGACUGAAACUUAAAGGAAUUGGCGGGGGAGCACUACAACGGGUGGAGCCUGCGGUUUAAUUGGAUUCAACGCCGGAAAUCUUACCGGGGGAGACAGCAGCAUGAAGGUCAGGCUGAAGACCUUACCAGAUCCGCUGAGAGGAAGUGCAUGGCCGUCGUCAGUUCGUACUGUGAAGCAUCCUGUUAAGUCAGGCAACGAGCGAGACCCGUGCCCACAGUUGCCAGCAUACCCUUCGGGGUGAUGGGUACUUUGUGGGGACCGCCGCUGCUAAAGCGGAGGAAGGAGCGGGUUACGGUAGGUCAGUAUGCUCCGGAACUCCCGGGCUACACGCGGGCUACAAUGGUUGGGACAAUGGGAAUCAACACCGAAAGGUGAAGGCAAUCUCCUAAACCCAAUCGAAGUUCGGAUUGAGGGCUGCAACUCGCCCUCAUGAAGCUGGAAUCCGUAGUAAUCGCGUUUCAACACAGCGCGGUGAAUACGUCCCUGCUCCUUGCACACACCGCCCGUCAAACCAUCUGAGUGAGGUUUGGAUGAGGGUCUUCCUGAUGGAGGAUUCGAAUCUGGGCUUCGCAAGGAGGGUUAAGUCGUAACAAGGUAGCCGUAGGGGAAUCUGCGGCUGGAUCACCUCCUAAU
rnacentral:rRNA from 1 species